rnacentral:tRNA from 1 species
GCAUCCGUAGCUCAGCUAGAGUACGGCUACGAACCGAGCGGUCGGAGGUUCGAAUCCUCCCGGAUGCACCA